rnacentral:rRNA from 1 species
AGCAGCCGCGGUAAUUCCAGCUCCAAUAGCGUAUAUUAAAGUUGUUGCAGUUAAAAAGCUCGUAGUUGAAUUUCGGGAUUGACACAUCGGUCGUGCCUUAAGGGGUAUGAACUGGUGUAGUCAAUUUCUCACCUUCUGGAGAACCGCGAUGCCCUUAAUUGGGUGUCACGGGGAACCAGGACCUUUACUUUGAAAAAAUUAGAGUGUUUAAAGCAGGCAUUUUGCUUGAAUACAUUAGCAUGGAAUAAUAAAAUAGGACGGCAUGAUUCUAUUUUGUUGGUUUCUAGGAUCACCGUAAUGAUUAAUAGGGAUAGUUGGGGGCAUUAGUAUUCAAUUGUCAGAGGUGAAAUUCUUGGAUUUAUUGAAGACUAACUACUGCGAAAGCAUUUGCCAAGGAUGUUUUCAUUAAUCAAGAACGAAAGUUAGGGGAUCGAAGACGAUCAGAUACCGUCGUAGUCUUAACCAUAAACUAUGCCGGCUAGGAAUCAGACGAUGUUAAUUUUUUAAUGACUCGUUUGGC